AUUGAACGCUGGCGGCAUGCCUUACACAUGCAAGUCGAACGGAGUGGCGGACGGGUGAGUAAUGCCUAGGAAUCUGCCCGGUAGCGGGGGAUCACGACCGGAAACCGGCGCUAAUACCGCAUACUAUCAGAUGAGCCUAGGUCGGAUUAGCUAGUUGGUGGGGUAACGGCCUACCAAGGCGACGAUCCGUAACUGGUCUGAGAGGAUGAUCAGUCACACGGGAACUGAGACACGGCCCAGACUCCUACGGGAGGCAGCAGUGGGGAAUUUUGGACAAUGGGCGAAAGCCUGAUCCAGCCAUGCCGCGUGUGUGAAGAAGGUCUUCGGGUUGUAAAGCACUUUAAGUUGGGAGGCGUUACCAACAGAAUAAGCACCGGCUAACUUCGUGCCAGCAGCCGCGGUAAUAC
rnacentral:rRNA from 1 species